AACAUAUUUUCUCAAAAUUUUUUACUAAAUUUAAGUAAACAGAUACUUUUUUCAAGUAUAUAUGUUUCGUUUAAAUAUAUGCAUUUGCUUAAAAGCAAAAUAAUAAUUAUUCAAUAUAUUUUCUUAAUUUAAAAUAAUAUUUUUGUUUAGAAACUCUGAUAGUAUUAAUUGAAGUUUUAAAUAUACUGCUUCCAAAAUAAGUUAGAUAUUCUAUUUAAAAUACCAAUUUAUUUCAAUGAAAUAUAUAAGGUUUUGAUCAAGAAAAAUAAAAUAUUAUUUUAAGAGUCUUAUAUACUUCAUUUAAAACAAAUCUUUGCUUUAAUUGUUUAGUAUAAAAUAAUAAAAUUCUCCAAAUAAAAAUAACCAAGGAAUUAAAACACAGUUUUUCUUAAAAUAAAAAUAUUUUAUACACAUUUUGAAACUACUAUGUUUCCGUUUAAAUAUAUUUUGCUGCACAAACCAAUUAAAAAAUAAACAUAUUUACUAGGAUUAAAAUUAUUAUUUUUUUAUUAAUUUUGUCUUGAGAAUUAGCAAAUUUCAUUUCACCCCUUCCCAUCACUUGUUUUCUAAACCUGCUUCAGGCGGCCGGUAAUCGGUAUUUUAUAGUUGAGUUUUGAGUUGAACAGUUGCUUGAUGGGACGCGGUAGGGGUGUUGCAUGCGUGUUGCUGUUGCGUUUGGUGCCGUGGUGCGAUUAGUUAUUAAUUAUGGAAAAAAAGUUAGUAGUUAAAAAUCGACUUCAACAAGAUGAGUACAAUUCUUUGGCUGCUAAAAUAGUGCUCCUUUUCCCACAAAGCCAAUGGGAGUGUAUUACUGUCCCCCUGUGAAAAGAGCAUGUAGUCCAUUUCACAAGACAGUUAUGGCUAAGGGCAAACUAGUGAAUCACUGCAGAAAUAUUUUAUUUAGAUCUGGUGAUACCCAAAAACAAAGAAAAAGGCCAGAUGACGAAGACUUUUGGUAUUGUCCCGAAACAAAAAAAAGAUAAUUUAGAAGAUACAUUUAAAGAAGAAAUUGCAUAGCUGCAACAUAAUACCGAGCCAUGGAAUAAAGUAGUGGAAUAUUGGACUCGAACCUGGGAAGUUCGAUCCACAUCAUGUGACAUGUCAUCCUCAGUGUCGCAAUACCUUGAAAAAUGACCAAACCAAACCAAUGUUUAUGCUGUACAUACUAAAAAUAAACUUUUAACAGAGAUAUUUUUGCCUUA